UACGUAGGGUGCAAGCGUUGUUCGGAAUUACUGGGCGUAAAGCGCACGUAGGCGGAUAUUUAAGUCAGGGGUGAAAAUCCUGGAGCUCAACUCCAGAACUGCCUUUGAUACUGAGGAUCUUGAGUUCGGGAGAGGUGAGUGGAACUGCGAGUGUAGAGGUGAAAAUUUCGUAGAUAUUCGCAAAGAACACCAGUGGCGAAGGCGGCUCACUGGCCCCGAUACUA
rnacentral:rRNA from 1 species